UACGGAGGGGACUAGCGUUGUUCGGAAUUACUGGGCGUAAAGAGUACGUAGGCUGUUUGUCAAGUUGGGUGUGAAAGCCCGGGGCUCAACCCCGGAACUGCACUCAAAACUGAUAGACUAGAGUUCGGAAGAGGUAAGUGGAAUUCCCAGUGUAGAGGUGAAAUUCGUAGAUAUUGGGAAGAACACCAGUGGCGAAGGCGGCUUACUGGUCCGACACUGACGCUGAGGUACGAAAGCGUGGGGAGCAAACAGG
rnacentral:rRNA from 1 species